CUCAAUUCUUCUUCUUAUAUAUCUCUAAACAACCAUGUCUUCUUACAUUUAGAAUCCUUCUUCAGUUCCAUCCCAAAACGACAUCACAGAAUCAACCCAUUCCAGCUUCUUACGUCCUUAGCAUAUGGAGAAAAAGAAGAAAGAUAAGUAGAACCUGUGCUGCUGCUUUGCUUGAUGGGAUUUACUAUCUGCUGUGCACAAAACCUAACAUGGCCAUGGACGAUAGGCCUAUGUUUCUUCUAGACCUAUAUAUGUCUUAGCGAGUAUCCAGCUCCAAAAUUUAAUAUACACAGCAUCUACAGUCGAUAGACAGUCUCGUACAUGGUUAAUUGUUGGUUUAUUUCUUAAUCUUCUUUAUGUUGAUGAUAUAAAGGACUUAAACUAGACGUUAACAACUCCA